rnacentral:rRNA from 1 species
CCCUUAGAUGUUCUGGGCGGCCCGCGCACUACAAUGGCGUGUGCAGCGAGUGCCGAAGUAGAGUUUUCCGAGGUAUUCUCGCAAUGCUCGUUUUGAUGGGGAUAGACCCUUGCAACUGUUGGUUUUGAACGAGGAAUUCCUUGUAAGCAUGGUUUAUCAUCCGACGCUGAAUGCGUCCCUGCCCUUUGUACACACCGCCCGUCGCUCCUACCGAUGAGUCGUCCGGUGAAGUUCGUAGACCUCGUGAUCGCGGAUCACUGGGGGAAGCAAAAUGAACCUCGCGGUUUAGAGGAAGGAGAAGUCGUAACA